GCCCGCUUAGCUUAGAGGUUAGAGCAUGGCAAUACAAAUGCGAUGACCAUCGGUUCGAUUCCAAUAGCCAGCU
rfam:Brassica oleracea var. oleracea cultivar TO1000 chromosome C8, whole genome shotgun sequence